AAGAGGAGCGAGGAGUUCUAAAAGAUUUUGGAGGUUUCGAAGGAGGAAAGGGACCGGGUUCAGCGAAUGCAGGUUGUUGAUCGAGCUGCGGCCGCGAUCGCGGCUGCUCGCGCCAUUUUGGAGGACAAGAAUAAUAAGUUGAGGACUGAGGCGGGGGAUCGCGGAGGUUCCGGUGGUGGGAGUGGCGGGGGUGGUGACGGAACAAUUGGGGCUCGUCAAGAAGGGGCUGGGAAUGUGCAAAUGUGAAUGAGUGAAUCUACUAGGGCUAGGACAGAAUUUGAAUCUGUGCAAAUGUGAAUGAGUGAAGCAGGAGUUUGGUUUUAUAUAGAUCGAGCAUACAUUCUUUGAGGAGCAAGACUGAGCUAACUAUUAUGUGGAUUUCAUUUUUAGAUGUUGGAGGACGAUGUAAUAUUGUUAUUUUGGAUGUAUUGUUAAAACUUAAUUUAUGAACUUGGAUAUUAGACUUUGUAUUUAGAUUAGAUGUGAAUAAUGGUGAAUUUGUGCAAAAUCUGCAUAAAUGCAGUGUCACUGUGA